AUUGAACGCUAGCGGUCCGCCUCAUACAUGCAAGUCGAGCGCGCAAGUUCCUGCGGGGGCGAUUAGAGCGGCGGACGGGUGAGUAACACGUAGGUAUCUACCUGGGAGUGGGGAAUAGCCCAGGGAAACCUGGAUUAAUACCGCAUAUGUUCUACGGAACAAAGGGAGCCUCUUCUUGAAAGCUCUCGCUACCAGAUGAACCUGCGCCGGAUUAGCUUGUUGGUGGGGUAAAAGCCCACCAAGGCGACGAUUCAUAGCUGUGCUGAGAGGAAGAUCAGCCACACUGGGACUGAGACACGGCCCAGACUCCUACGGGAGGCAGCA
rnacentral:rRNA from 1 species